UUUCCCAAGAAAUACUCGAUACGUUCUAGAAGAACUGAGGAAGAAAAGGACUAAGGGUUAUCACUCAGUUAUGCAGUUACCAGCUUGCUGCAAAGCCAUCUGCAUCUUGGCCACCGGAGGUCAAAUUGUAUGUGUUUUAGCACGCCAUGUUUCUUCAAUAAAACAAACUGCAGUCACUUUGGAGAGGAAGAUGUUUCAAGCAAUACAAAGAAUCAGCUGUCCAUGAUGAUGGAGAAACACUGGUGUAGUGUGGUCUAGUCUAAUUAGACGGGAAUAUCUUUCUUGGACUAAGUGGACAUCACACUCUUGGCAUUUCUGUUACGUGAACAUCAGACAGUUCAGCCUCCAGCUGAUACCAUGGUGGCUUGGAAGCAACUCCCUAGAAGCUCUUAUCAUCUUCACACCAGAUGCUGCACAGAAACUAAGCAGAUCCACAGGACUUCAGUAGAAAACAGACCAGGAACUUCUGGUAUGUUCUGUUAAAGUAUAACAGCUAAUAUCUCUUCCAAUAUUCCUAACGUACAAUUUAUAACGUACUCCAUUGUUUCACCAUCUUUAGUGUAGUCCCUCAUAAGGUAGUAAACAUGCUAAACCAAUUAGUAAGUAGGACAGUCUGCAGACCAGUAACAGACGCUGAGAUCUACUUU